UUUUAAUUUGUUAACAUAUUGAUAUCAAUUCACCUGUAAUAUGUCUCAGACAUCCUCUCACAACUUUCCCAGCAGUUAAUUUGUGUUGAAAUCUUUAGUCACAUAUUGUCACAUGUAA